GCCUGGAGCAAAUGUUACCUUGCGAGUUUACACCGCACAUAUGCAACGUUUCAGUUCAUGGACAUCGAAGCAAGAGGAGGAAAAGAGGCAUGACCAUUUCAACAAAGACGGAAUAAACAACCUCUGGAUUCAUGGAACUUCUCUGCACACAAAUAUAUUAAUUGGAAUAUUCAAUAAAUUUCACAUAGAAA